ensembl:snoRNA
UGCAGCUGUGUCAAAUUCAGCACCUGCCCCCUUUCAUGGCAAGAGCUGGCCCAAACAGCUGCCACAGCAACACUGUAGCUCAUGGGCCCCAAGUCCCUCUCCCUGGGGCUCGGGGAUAAAAUUUUGCUGCAGACAUUG